rnacentral:rRNA from 1 species
GACGAAGGUGGCGAGCGUUGUUCGGAAUCACUGGGCAUAAAGCGCACGUAGGCGGCGACGUAAGUUGGGUGUGAAAUCCCUCGGCCCAACCGAGGAACUGCGCCCAGUACUGCGUUGCUUGAGGAUCCAAGGGGUGCAUGGAAUUCCCGGUGGAGCGGUGAAAUGCGUUGAUAUCGGGAGGAACUCCGGCGGCGAAAGCGGUGCACUGGUGGAUUACUGACGCUGAGGUGCGAAAGCCCAGGGGGAGCAAACGGGG